GGGGAUUCGAGGCCACCCGUCGUAGUGGCAGGAUUGUAGGCCUCUCGGUGACUGUAACACAGAAAAACAGGGAAAAGGAGUGACAGGUGAGGCCCUCUCUAUGUGACAUGCGAGGCGACUAGCUCACGCGUGGCCCGAUGGGUGUUUGCCUCCGAACGUUGAGGCGGGGUGUUGGCCUCGCGGGACCACUAACCGAUGGCAAAUGCCAAGAAGGUGUA